CCUACGGGUGGCAGCAGUGGGGAAUAUUGCACAAUGGGGGAAACCCUGACGCAGCGACGCCGCGUGAAUGAAGAAGGCCUUCGGUUUGUAAAGCUCUAUCAUCAGGGACGAAAAUGACGGUACCUCCGAAAGAAGCCCCGGCUAACUACGUGCCAGCAGCCGCGGGAAUACGUCGGGGGCAAGCGUUAUCCGGAUUUACUGGGUGUAAAGGGAGCGUAGACGGCAGAGCAAGUCUGAAGUGAAAUGCCUGGGCUCAACCCCCGAACUGCUCUGGAAACUGUUCGGCUUGAGUGCAGGAGAGGUAAGUGGAAUUCCGAGUGUAGCGGUGAAAUGCGUAGAUAUUAGGAGGAACACCAGUGGCGAAGGCGGCUUACUGGACAGUAACUGACGUUGAGGCGCGAAAGCGUGGGGAGCAAACAGGAUUAGAUACCCGUGUAGUC
rnacentral:rRNA from 1 species